GUAGGGCGCAAGCGUUGUCCGGAAUUAUUGGGCGUAAAGAGCUCGUAGGCGGCUUGUCACGUCGGAUGUGAAAGCCCGGGGCUUAACCCCGGGUCUGCAUUCGAUACGGGCUAGCUAGAGUGUGGUAGGGGAGAUCGGAAUUCCUGGUGUAGCGGUGAAAUGCGCAGAUAUCAGGAGGAACACCGGUGGCGAAGGCGGAUCUCUGGGCCAUUACUGACGCUGAGGAGCGAAAGCGUGGGGAGCGAACAGGAUUAGAUACCCUGGUAGUCCACGCCGUAAACGUUGGGAACUAGGUGUUGGCGACAUUCCACGUCGUCGGUGCCGCAGCUAACGCAUUAAGUUCCCCGCCUGGGGAGUACGGCCGCAAGGCUAAAACUCAAAGGAAUUGACGGGGGCCCGCACAAGCAGCGGAGCAUGUGGCUUAAUUCGACGCAACGCGAAGAACCUUACCAAGGCUUGACAUAUACCGGAAAGCAUCAGAGAUGGUGCCCCCCUUGUGGUCGGUAUACAGGUG
rnacentral:rRNA from 1 species